GAUGAACGCUGGCGGCGUGCCUAAUACAUGCAAGUCGAACGCGAGAGGAGGGAGCUUGCUCCCUCAGAUCGAGUGGCGGACGGGUGAGUAACACGUAGGCAACCUGCCCAUCAGCCGGGGAUAACUGCGGGAAACCGUGGCUAAUACCGGAUAAUCCUCCCCGCCGCGGGGUGGGGAGUUGAAAGACGGUUUCGGCUGUCGCUGAUGGAUGGGCCUGCGGCGCAUUAGCUGGUUGGCGGGGUAACGGCCCACCAAGGCAACGAUGCGUAGCCGACCUGGGAGGGUGAUCGGCCACACUGGAACUGAGACACGGCCCAGACUCCUACGGGAGGCAGCAGUAGGGAAUCUUCCGCAAUGGACGCAAGUCUGACGGAGCAACGCCGCGUGAGUGAAGAAGGGUUUCGGCUCGUAAAACUCUGUUGUUAAGGAAGAAUGCCAGGUAGAGUAACUGCUACCUGUGUGACGGUACUUAACCAGAAAGCCACGGCUAACUACGUGCCAGCAGCCGCGGUAA
rnacentral:rRNA from 1 species